rnacentral:lncRNA from 1 species
GAUGGCCUCAUAGAUAAUGAUGAUGGAAGAGAGAAAAUUGAAUGUCUCUCACAAGGUGGCCAUGGCAACCGAGAGCAGAAUAAUAUCAAUAAUAAACUCACUGCAUAAUAAGGUUGUCAGUCCUACAAAUCAAAGUCUCCAGCUAAAUCAGGUAUACCACCCCAGCUAGUUACCAGGCUGCAAAAUGAAUCAGCAGCCAUCCUGAGCAGGCUGAUUAAAAUGAAAAUGGCAAGGCACAUGUCUGGGCGGAACUGGAGCUCAGCUUUGCUGCUUGUCUGGCAAGCAUGCUCAAUAUAGCUCUUGCUAAUAAUGGCUUACUGCCU